ACUUUAAAUAUGUGUCCGUAUAUUUAAUGUGACACGCCAAAACUUUAUCCCAGUAUAAAAACAGCCUAUAUAUCACGGUUCAUGGACGCAAUUCAAACUCAUUAAGAUAACGGAUUCCAGUUCUGUUCGGCCAUACAAGCCCCGUCCAUCGGAAGCGAAGUCCGUCUCACACCCUACAGUCGAAUCGAGGCGACGAGGCGAGCGGCGGCGGCGGAGAGCGAAGAGUAAAUCGAGGAGGAGGAGGAAGAAGGAGCUCUCCUGUGGCGACCAUGUCUCUCCGUGCCCUCGGUUCCCUUCUCACCUGUAGGAGAUUCUCGCCACGCGCGCAGGCGCAGGCGGAGGCGGAGUCCUCGCUGGGGAUCUUCACUCAGGCUACGGCGGGGAGAGGGAUCUCGCCGUUGGUGAUGGUGGCGCUUAUGGAGUUGUAGCCACGAUUGCGUUGGCUGGAUUGGCCACAAUCCUGUAUUUCAACGAGAGCACAGACAAGUCAGGAGGUAUGAAUUGACAAAAAAGAAAAAAAAACAAAACAAAAGCCUUUAGAUUUCUCUUCGUUAGUUAGCUCUGAUCCAGGUGACCUAACCAUGCCCACCACCACCUACCUGUUGAUGUACAUCUCCAGCUGCAGGAGGAAGGCAGGAAGGGGUUACUGCCUAAAUCCCAUAAUAUAAUAUAAGGCACACAUGCGUUUUAAGAUUCAACUUUUAAAACAUUUGAUUAACUAUUAUGAAUUUUAUUUGCUGAAAAUAAUACAUUGGAUUGAUAUUUGAAUUUAAUUUCAUAUGGUUAUAGUUUACUUUUAUAUUGCUACAAACAUUAUACUAUAUAUAAGAAAUUAGAAUCCAAAGAUUUGUUUUAAAGACCGUACUAAGUUUAACCGACUUAUAUUAUGGGAUAGAGGAUGUAUGUGACAGGGGGGCUGUCAAGGAACCUUACCCUUACCUGAGUAAGGAAGCAGCCAUCAAGGCAGGGUUUGUGGACAAAGAUGGCACAGUUCAGUGGGCUAGUUAUCUCGAUCAUGUCAACUUUCAAACACUCAUGGGGGAAUGCCUCCUUACGACGAGGAAGCAUCUGCUAAGGAGGUGAGUGACUGGGAAGAAGCUGUGAAGCAGCAGGAUGUGAAGGUCGAUGAGGCAACCAUGAAGGCCAGGUUUCAGGACUGGAUGAAGGAGCACAACCGUUCGUACAGCACCGAGGAGGAGAAGGCUCGCUGCUAUGAAAUAUUCAAGGAGACCGCGAUAAGGGCAGACAAGGCUAAUGCGGUAAGACCAAUGGAUGUCCCUUUCGCCCCUAACGGAUUCGCAGACUGGACUGAUGAAGAGUGCAAUAGUCUGUAUUCCCAUCCUGGUAGCUUUGACUGGGAGAGGUACAUCGAUCACAUGAACACUAUGAAUGCUAAUGGGGGAUACAUUGGCAAUCAAGACUGUAAAG